rnacentral:rRNA from 1 species
GUUGAACGCUGGCGGCAGGCCUAACACAUGCAAGUCGAGCGGAUGAAGGGAGCUUGCUCCUGGAUUCAGCGGCGGACGGGUGAGUAAUGCCUAGGAAUCUGCCUGGUAGGGGGGGAUAACGUCCGGAAACGGGCGCUAAUACCGCAUACGUCCUGAGGGAGAAAGUGGGGGGUCUUCGGACCUCACGCUAUCAGAUGAGCCUAGGUCGGAUUAGCUAGUUGGUGGGGUAAAGGCCUACCAAGGCGACGAUCCGUAACUGGUCUGAGAGGAUGAUCAGUCACCUUGGAACUGGGACACGGUCCAGACUCCUAAGGGAGGCAGCAGUGGGGAAUAUUGGACAAUGGGGGAAAGCAUGAUACAGCCAUGCCGAGUGUGUGAAGAAGGUCUUCGGAUUGUAAAGAACUUUAAGUUGGGAGGAAGGGCAGUAAGUUAAUACCUUGCUGUUUUGACGUUACCAACAGAAUAAGCACCGGCUAACUUCGUG